AAUAGAUACCCGGGUAGUCCACGCCGUAAACGAUGAGUGCUAAGUGUUAGGGGGUUUCCGCCCCUUAGUGCUGCAGCUAACGCAUUAAGCACUCCGCCUGGGGAGUACGGUCGCAAGACUGAAACUCAAAGGAAUUGACGGGGGCCCGCACAAGCGGUGGAGCAUGUGGUUUAAUUCGAAGCAACGCGAAGAACCUUACCAGGUCUUGACAUCCCACUGACCGCUAUGGAGACAUAGUUUUCCCUUCGGGGACAGUGGUGACAGGUGGUGCAUGGUUGUCGUCAGCUCGUGUCGUGAGAUGUUGGGUUAAGUCCCGCAACGAGCGCAACCCUUGAUCUUAGUUGCCAUCAUUUAGUUGGGCACUCUAAGGUGACUGCCGGUGACAAACCGGAGGAAGGUGGGGAUGACGUCAAAUCAUCAUGCCCCUUAUGACCUGGGCUACACACGUGCUACAAUGGACGGUACAAACGGUUGCCAACCCGCGAGGGGAGCUAAUCCGAUAAAACCGUUCUCAGUUCGGAUUGUAGGCUGCAACUCGCCUAC
rnacentral:rRNA from 1 species